rnacentral:rRNA from 1 species
CAUAGCGACUAUCGUGGCAUAUCAAUAAGCGGAGGAAAAGAAACUAACAAGGAUUCCCUUAGUAACGGCGAGUGAAGCGGGAAGAGCUCAAAUUUGAAAUCUUCAAGGUUUUACCUUGACGAAUUGUAGUUUAUAGAAGUGUUUUCUGUUGAGUUGCGUGGCAAAAGUUCUUUGGAAUAGGACAUCAUAGAGGGUGAGAAUCCCGUAUUUGGUCAUUCCUUCCUAGCGUUGUGAUACACUUUCAACGAGUCGGAUUGUUUGGGAAUGCAGUCCAAAAUGGGUGGUAAAUUUCAUCUAAAGCUAAAUAUUGGCGAGAGACCGAUAGCGAACAAGUACCGUGAGGGAAAGAUGAAAAGAACUUUGAAAAGAGAGUUAAACAGUACGUGAAAUUGUCAAAAGGGAAGCGUUUGACACCAGUGUUGUUUUUCCGAAAAUCAAUUACUGAAUGUUUUAUUUUUGAGAAGUUAUGACUUCAUCGGCUUGCUUCUUCUUUAUGAAACUUUCUUAAUGCACUUUUCGGUUAACAAGUCAACAUCAAUUUCUUUUGUUGUAAAAGGGUAUGAGGAAGGUGGCUUUCUUUUCGGAGAAAGUGUUUAUAGCCUUGUAGCCUCUGCAAUCGGAGAGAUUGAGGUCUGCAGCGUAGAUCCUUCGGGGUUAGAUACAGUUUGUGCUAAGUUAUAGCUUUUCAUAGACAACUUGUUGACUAUGUUUAGUCUUGUAGCUUACUCGCUGAUGCUAUUUUACCUACGCUUAGGAUGUUGACGAGACUGUCGAUCUC